GUAGGCAAGGGAAGUCGGCAAAACGGAUCCGUAACUUCGGGAAAAGGAUUGGCUCUGAGGACUGGGCUCGGGGGUCCCGGCCCCGAACCCGUCGGCUGUUGGCGGAUUGCUCGAGCUGCUCACGCGGCGAGUGCGGGUCGCCGCGUGCCGGCCGGGGGACGGACCGGGAAUCGCCCCUUCGGGAGCUUUCCCCGAGCAUGAAACAGUCGACUCAGAACUGGUACGGACAAGGGGAAUCCGACUGUUUAAUUAAAACAAAGCA
rnacentral:ncRNA from 1 species